GGUUAAGCGACUAAGCGUACACGGUGGAUGCCCUGGCAGUCAGAGGCGAUGAAGGGCGUGCUAAUCUGCGAUAAGCGCCGGUAAGGUGAUAUGAACCGUUAUAACCGGCGAUACCCGAAUGGGGAAACCCAGUGUGAUUCGUCACACUAUCAUUAACUGAAUCCAUAGGUUAAUGAGGCGAACCGGGGGAACUGAAACAUCUAAGUACCCCGAGGAAAAGAAAUCAACCGAGAUUCCCCCAGUAGCGGCGAGCGAACGGGGAGGAGCCCAGAGCCUGAAUCAGCAUGUGUGUUAGUGGAAGCGUCUGGAAAGGCGCGCGAUACAGGGUGACAGCCCCGUACACAAAAGCGCAUGUGCUGUGAGCUCGAUGAGUAGGGCGGGACACGUGGUAUCCUGUCUGAAUAUGGGGGGACCAUCCUCCAAGGCUAAAUACUCCUGACUGACCGAUAGUGAACCAGUACCGUGAGGGAAAGGCGAAAAGAACCCCGGCGAGGGGAGUGAAAAAGAACCUGAAACCGUGUACGUACAAGCAGUGGGAGCCCCACCACUAAGCCAGUGGUGAACUCCACAUCCGCAUCCUUUGCUGAGGAUACGGUUAACGGAGCGAAAGCGACGUUCAACCGCAAAACAAGCAGAGGGGGCUUAGUGGUGGGGUGACUGCGUACCUUUUGUAUAAUGGGUCAGCGACUUAUAUUCUGUAGCAAGGUUAACCGAAUAGGGGAGCCGGAGGGAAACCGAGUCUUAAUUGGGCGUUAAGUUGCAGGGUAUAGACCCGAAACCCGGUGAUCUAGCCAUGGGCAGGUUGAAGGUUGGGUAACACUAACUGGAGGACCGAACCGACUAAUGUUGAAAAAUUAGCGGAUGACCUGUGGCUGGGGGUGAAAGGCCAAUCAAACCGGGAGAUAGCUGGUUCUCCCCGAAAGCUAUUUAGGUAGCGCCUCGUGAAUUCAUCUCCGGGGGUAGAGCACUGUUUCGGCUAGGGGGCCAUCCCGGCUUACCAACCCGAUGCAAACUGCGAAUACCGGAGAAUGUUAUCACGGGAGACACACGGCGGGUGCUAACGUCCGUCGUGAAGAGGGAAACAACCCAGACCGCCAGCUAAGGUCCCAAAGUCAUGGUUAAGUGGGAAACGAUGUGGGAAGGCCCAGACAGCCAGGAUGUUGGCUUAGAAGCAGCCAUCAUUUAAAGAAAGCGUAAUAGCUCACUGGUCGAGUCGGCCUGCGCGGAAGAUGUAACGGGGCUAAACCAUGCACCGAAGCUGCGGCAGCGACGCUGAUGCGUUGUUGGGUAGGGGAGCGUUCUGUAAGCCUGCGAAGGUGACCUGUGAGGGUUGCUGGAGGUAUCAGAAGUGCGAAUGCUGACAUAAGUAACGAUAAAGCGGGUGAAAAGCCCGCUCGCCGGAAGACCAAGGGUUCCUGUCCAACGUUAAUCGGGGCAGGGUGAGUCGACCCCUAAGGCGAGGCCGAAAGGCGUAGUCGAUGGGAAACGGGUUAAUAUUCCCGUACUUGGUGUUACUGCGAAGGGGGGACGGAGAAGGCUAUGUUGGCCGGGCGACGGUUGUCCCGGUUUAAGCGUGUAGGUGUGUGUUCCAGGUAAAUCCGGUUCACUUUAACACUGAGGCGUGACGACGAGGCACUACGGUGCUGAAGCAACAAAUGCCCUGCUUCCAGGAAAAGCCUCUAAGCAUCAGGUAACAUCAAAUCGUACCCCAAACCGACACAGGUGGUCAGGUAGAGAAUACCAAGGCGCUUGAGAGAACUCGGGUGAAGGAACUAGGCAAAAUGGUGCCGUAACUUCGGGAGAAGGCACGCUGACACGUAGGUGAAGUGAUUUACUCAUGGAGCUGAAGUCAGUCGAAGAUACCAGCUGGCUGCAACUGUUUAUUAAAAACACAGCACUGUGCAAACACGAAAGUGGACGUAUACGGUGUGACGCCUGCCCGGUGCCGGAAGGUUAAUUGAUGGGGUCAGCGCAAGCGAAGCUCCUGAUCGAAGCCCCGGUAAACGGCGGCCGUAACUAUAACGGUCCUAAGGUAGCGAAAUUCCUUGUCGGGUAAGUUCCGACCUGCACGAAUGGCGUAAUGAUGGCCAGGCUGUCUCCACCCGAGACUCAGUGAAAUUGAACUCGCUGUGAAGAUGCAGUGUACCCGCGGCAAGACGGAAAGACCCCGUGAACCUUUACUAUAGCUUGACACUGAACAUUGAGCCUUGAUGUGUAGGAUAGGUGGGAGGCUUUGAAGUGUGGACGCCAGUCUGCAUGGAGCCGACCUUGAAAUACCACCCUUUAAUGUUUGAUGUUCUAACGUGGACCCGUAAUCCGGGUUGCGGACAGUGUCUGGUGGGUAGUUUGACUGGGGCGGUCUCCUCCUAAAGAGUAACGGAGGAGCACGAAGGUUGGCUAAUCCUGGUCGGACAUCAGGAGGUUAGUGCAAUGGCAUAAGCCAGCUUGACUGCGAGCGUGACGGCGCGAGCAGGUGCGAAAGCAGGUCAUAGUGAUCCGGUGGUUCUGAAUGGAAGGGCCAUCGCUCAACGGAUAAAAGGUACUCCGGGGAUAACAGGCUGAUACCGCCCAAGAGUUCAUAUCGACGGCGGUGUUUGGCACCUCGAUGUCGGCUCAUCACAUCCUGGGGCUGAAGUAGGUCCCAAGGGUAUGGCUGUUCGCCAUUUAAAGUGGUACGCGAGCUGGGUUUAGAACGUCGUGAGACAGUUCGGUCCCUAUCUGCCGUGGGCGCUGGAGAACUGAGGGGGGCUGCUCCUAGUACGAGAGGACCGGAGUGGACGCAUCACUGGUGUUCGGGUUGUCAUGCCAAUGGCACUGCCCGGUAGCUAAAUGCGGAAGAGAUAAGUGCUGAAAGCAUCUAAGCACGAAACUUGCCCCGAGAUGAGUUCUCCCUGAGACUUAGAGUCUCCUGAAGGAACGUUGAAGACGACGACGUUGAUAGGCCGGGUGUGUAAGCGCAGCGAUGCGUUGAGCUAACCGGUACUAAUGAACCGUGAGGCUUAACCUU
rnacentral:rRNA from 1 species